UCCCGCUUAAAGAGAGGAUGCACGGAAGCCUGCACACUUUAAAUCUAAUCUUCUCCUCUGUCAUCCCUCAUUUUCGUGUGUGUGUGUGCAUGGGUGAACAGCAGGACAACGGCAGCCUCGGGACAUGUCCGACAGAAUGAUGGAGCGAAGAGAAGAAGCAGAGGUUCAGAUAGCUUGGGAAAAGAAGAUGUGGCGGAGGAGGAGGAGGAGAAGGAGGACAGUGUCGGGAUGGGAGUGAAUGUGUCCACCAGCUGCAGACAGGAGUGCAUCACAUCAAAGCUGUCCGGCGAGGGCGCCCCGUGAUGCAUCCUCUCUCCUACUGAUCACGCGCCAUUAAUGACACAAUGACAAUGAAGAGAACAUACACCCUUGCUGUCUACCUCAAUGAAGAUCCAAACAGAUUGAUAUAAGAUUUUAUGGCGCGAGGAUGAGGAACUCACCGCACAGACGAAGCAUUCCGGAUGCCACGUGUCGUUGGCUGCGCUCAGGUAGUCUUUCGUCACGGACCCCCCGCAGCCUGCGCACUUGGGGGCGAAGAGGCGGUAGAAGUCGGCGGAACAAUAAGGCUUCCCAUCCUUCUCCAGGAAACCUUUGAACGCACAUGGCUAAUGAGCUCAUUGCACUUUAUUUUUUUAUUUUUUAAAGGCAAAGGGUUUUCUUUAUGGUACCGUCAUCGCCAAAAAAAUCUCCACAGUGUGCGCAGAAAAAGUGAUCCGGAUGCCAGGUCUGGUCCAGAGCUGUCAGGAUGUUCUGUAACGUCAAAUAUCAACCAAUUACUUUUUAGAUUGCCAUUAUACAGUUGGGAUGAUUGACUUUGCUGUGCAGUAUGUCUACAGUAGGGAGCUGAGACGUACCCUAGUGAGGAUAAGCGGUUCAAAAAAAUAGAUGGGAUGAACGGAAAAUAUUAGGUACUGUUUACUUAACAUUUAAGAUUGAUUAUGUAGUGUUAGCCAUUGUAGUACUGGGAUCAAAAAAGUCUUAUCUUAUAAUCUUGCCUAUAGCCUGUUAUUGGUUUAGUUUAUCUUUGUUUAUCUUAGCUUGGGUUGGCUUGAUUUUGCUAAUCUUAGUCUGGGAUAGUUUUUAUAUGAAGUUUUUUGAAAGCAAUAAGAUGGUAAAUUUGCACAUGCUAAUGUAGACUUGUCUACUAAUAAGACCUAAUGGAUGGAUGGAUGAAUUCCUGCCGUAAUAUAUUUGACUGCUAACAAAUGGGAGGCCUCCUACCUGCACAAUGGGCCCCUUGCAGUAGGCGCAGCGCGGCGCAAAGAGCUUCUCGUAGUCUUCCCGGCAGUACGGGCGUCCGUCCCGCUCAAAGUAGCCUGUGGUACUCAGCUCCGUCUGACACGUCACACACACAAAGUGCUGCGGGUGCCACAUUUUCCCUAAAGCCGCCAGCAUCUGAGCAAGACAGGAAGAAGUUCAUAUGUGAGGGAGAAACAUUUUAGUCGUAAAAAUCAAGAGUACCUUUCCCACAAUCACUUUGUUGCAGGCGGCACAGCGGCCCUUGGCUGCAGUGUGGACUCCAAUCUUUUCAAAGUCAGUGCUCAGGCCUCCGAGAAGAUCAUCAAUGCUGUCUGAGUCUUUGCCCCCGACUGAAGCCUUGGAGUCAAAAUCCCCUUGACCAUCUUUUGUUUUCUUCUCAUCAGACUGCUCCUGUAGAAGCGGCGAAGGGGCUGUGUCCUAAACGGAGAUAAGGAUGGUGGACAUUGGGUUGCAUGCUCAAAGGUCAGAUGAUGACGUGGGGUUGGCCUCAGUGUCCAAAUCGGAACAAUGCUGCCCCCUCUUGGUGAGUGUGGUUAAGUUCACAAGUUCAGCAUGCAAUGUCCAAGUAGAAAGGUAAAAGGUGAGGCAACGCUCACCCCUGAUGCCAGGCUCAACAGAUCUUGCAAAAUGGAGUCCAGUUCGACGGUGGGUGAGUCCUGGGAAGCUGCCUCGGGAAGAGCUGGCUCACUAAAAACCCCAUGAGAAGAUUGGUUGUUCAAAGUCUUAUAAGUCAAUGUGCUUUUUUUUUUUUUUCUUUUUACAUGUGUUUUGGAUGCCACCACUGGAGGGGACCAUUGUUAGCAAAUCAGGAAAAUUACUAUGGAGGUUUUGGUUGUGCAAUAUUUAGUGAGUGAACCUGUUCAGUUUUAGGUUAGAUCCCUCAUUAGGUCCGGUGCUGACGGCAGCCGACUCCUUCAAGGUUUCACGACUGUCUUCUGAAGCAGUCGGAUUAAGGGCGAGCUCUUCCAACAGCAAAUCUGGAACAUAAAUUGAAGGUUUAGCCGCUAAGUGGUGUGUUUGUGUUUCCUGUCAAACUCUCAGACGGCAGAGGUGUCUGUGUUUUCUGUUUGAGAUUAAUGUGUGCAAACGGGUUUCCUCAGGAAGUGAUGUUAGAACUUUUACAGAAGUAAAAUUUGCUGAAAUAAUCCCUUUGAAAAUAUUCAAGUCAAUCCCAGUGCAGUCACGCACAUAUUAAUGAUGGUAAUACUCUAACGAUAGGUGCGGCUGUAGUUGUUUUUCCAAGUGUAAAUAAGUUUAAAAUAAAUGAACUGUUUGGAAUAUUUUGCCCUCCAUAUUGUAUUAUACGGGAAAGAACCACUGUCACAAAGAAAAAGAAUGCCUCUGACAAUUUCAACCAAAAGCGCGCAUAUCUACUUUAUAAAACUAGGAUUUGACACAUUUGGGGGAUUUAAUCAGAUUAGAUCACGAAUGUGCACCAUUAAAUAUAUCCUGAGACAACUGACCACAUAAAAUCACUUUGCCUCAGAAUCAAAUUCGACUGAUUUAUCUGAGAAUCACUGAAAAUAGAUUGCAAAAAGUUGCCUUACCAAGUUCAUCCAUGUUUCUCUCAGAAUGAAUUUGUCUGACUGUUGUUGUUUUCUCUCUCUCUCCCUCCCUGCAGCUGCUGUUACUCAAGUUACCACAAGUCACAUCUUCACUUCCUCUGUUGAUAUUUCUGACAUAUUGCUGAAUCUAGACUUUGUUUUUUGUAUUUAAACUCAGCCAUAUGAUCUUUUGGAUUUUGUGUGUGUGUGAUUUUACAAUGUGUGCCAUUUUUAACUUUAAGCGUCAAGUUAUUAAUAGCAUCUGGAUAGCAGCGCCGUUUUGCUGAAGUGGAGAAAACUGACAUAAAAUCACACUUAAGUUUAUUUAUAAGCUUUUAUCAUACAUAUUUCAUUAACAGAGGUGUAACGAGUUUUCUCUACGCGUGCAGUAAGCGGAAUUUAGAACGCUGAUGGAUCAUCCAUCACACUCACUGGAUUGUCUCCAUCUCCUGAUCAGUAUGACAAAUGCUGCUCGUGAUAUCUUCUGGCUCUUAGAAAGGAGAAAAAAACAAACAAGGCUGGGCCCGUCCAGGACGCCCGCUUCCUCCAGCUGAGCCGCAACUGUAGCAGCGCCACCGGCACCACCAUGAGGCGCUGAGAACUGUUGGCCACCAGCCCCAGCUGGUGUGACAUGGCUUGGAGAGCAAAUCUGCAGGUCGAACCGAACCACAUUGGAUCUGACUCCGCCCGCGAUUAAAACGCAAAAUAUGUAUGCUUGCAUUGCAACUGUUCAACCACAAUUAAAAGAAGUCCAAAAAUUGAAA